rnacentral:rRNA from 1 species
CCCUUAGAUGUUCUGGGCCGCACGCGCGCUACACUGAAGGGAUCAGCGUGUUUUCCCUCCCUGAGAAGGGCGGGUAACCUUUUGAAUCAGCUUCGUGGUAGGGAUCGGGGCUUGCAAUUGUUCCCCGUGAACCAGGGAUUCCUAGUAGACGCGAGUCAUAAGCUCGCAUCGAUUAAGUCCCUGCCCUUUGUACACACCGCCCGUCGCUACUACCGAUUGAACGUUUUAGUGAGGCAUUUGGACCGACGCAUCUCAGUUUAACCGCUGGUUUGUGUUGGAAAGACUUCCAAACUUGAGCGUUUAGAGGAAGUAAAAGUCGUAACA